GCCCUCGUAGCUCAGUUGGAUAGAGCGCGGCUUUCCUAAAGCUGAGGUCGCAAGUUCGAACCUUGCCGGGGGUA
rnacentral:tRNA from 1 species